rnacentral:snRNA from 1 species
UUUCUCACUUUGGCAGCAUAUAUACUAAAAUCUGAGUUAUACAGGGAAGAUUAGCAUGGCCCUGGUGUAAGGAUAACAGGCAAAUUUAUGGAGCAAUCCAUAUUUUC